rnacentral:rRNA from 1 species
GACGAACGCUGGCGGCGUGCCUAAUACAUGCAAGUAGAACGCUGAGGAGGAGCUUGCUUCUCUGGAUGAGUUGCGAACGGGUGAGUAACGCGUAGGUAACCUGCCUGGUAGCGGGGGAUAACUAUUGGAAACGAUAGCUAAUACCGCAUAAUAGUAGAUGUUGCAUGACAUUUGCUUAAAAGGUGCAAUUGCAUCACUACCAGAUGGACCUGCGUUGUAUUAGCUAGUUGGUGAGGUAACGGCUCACCAAGGCGACGAUACAUAGCCGACCUGAGAGGGUGAUCGGCCACACUGGGACUGAGACACGGCCCAGACUCCUACGGGAGGCAGCAGUAGGGAAUCUUCGGCAAUGGACGGAAGUCUGACCGAGCAACGCCGCGUGAGUGAAGAAGGUUUUCGGAUCGUAAAGCUCUGUUGUAAGAGAAGAACGAGUGUGAGAGUGGAAAGUUCACACUGUGACGGUAUCUUACCAGAAAGGGACGGCUAACUACGUG